UACGUAGGGUGCGAGCGUUGUCCGGAAUUAUUGGGCGUAAAGAGCUCGUAGGCGGCUUGUCGCGUCGGAUGUGAAAGCCCGGGGCUUAACUCCGGGUCUGCAUUCGAUACGGGCAGGCUAGAGUUCGGUAGGGGAGAUCGGAAUUCCUGGUGUAGCGGUGAAAUGCGCAGAUAUCAGGAGGAACACCGGUGGCGAAGGCGGGACUCUGGGCCGAUACUGACGCUGAGGAGCGAAAGCGUGGGGAGCAAACAGG
rnacentral:rRNA from 1 species